GCGGCCAGGGCGGCCGGGCACGGCCCUUCCCGUGGGGCAGCGCGGCCCGGCCGAGCCGCCAUUUCGGGAGGCCGAGCGUUGGUCGCGCUCGGUAACGGUGUCGUCGGGCGCGGGGCGGGUGCUUCCACCCUGUGCUCUUUCCCUUUACGCCUCCUUCCCCUCCUUUGACUCCUUUCUAUCUCUCGGGUCCGCCUCCCCUCCCUCCCUCCCGUUCCCACCCUCCCAUUCCCUCCCCUCCCCGCCGGGCACUGCGGGGCCGGAGCCGUGACCCGAGCAGACGCCGCCGCGGCCUUUUCCCCGCUGCCAGAGGCUCUCGUCGCGGGGUCGCAUGUCCUCUAUCCAGAACCUCCAGUCCUUCGACCCCUUUGCUGAUGCAACAAAGGGCGACGACUUGCUCCCGGCGGGGACUGAGGAUUACAUUCACAUAAGGAUCCAGCAGCGGAACGGCAGGAAGACACUGACAACUGUCCAGGGAAUUGCAGAUGAUUAUGACAAGAAGAAACUUGUGAAAGCUUUCAAAAAGAAAUUUGCUUGUAAUGGCACUGUGAUUGAACAUCCUGAAUACGGUGAAGUUAUCCAGCUUCAAGGUGACCAGAGAAAGAACAUUUGCCAGUUCCUCUUGGAGAUUGGCAUUGUCAAGGAAGAACAACUGAAAGUUCAUGGUUUCUAAGACACCUGUACUCUCCUGAAGAACCCUGCAAUGUUUGAUCUUCUUUGGCCUGGCUUGUCUGUGAAAAAUGUAUCAUUGCAGUGAAUGGACUUCCCCGUUACCUGAACAUUUAAAGUUUGAUUCGGCUUUGCCUGGCUGCCUGAAAUAUGUGACAAUUCCACUGGUCAGAAUCCAGUGUCUCAGUCUCCACAGAUUCUGCCUGGUGUAACAGACUUAAGUGAUCCACAGAAAGGAUGUUCCAGAAAAUUGUGUGCUGUUGCAGUGUGAUGUGUUCAAGAGGAGGAGGAGGACACGUGGAGGGAGCUGCUGCAAAGACACAAAAUCCCAGCACACAGAAGGAAAACCCAAAGAACAAGCCUUGCCCAUUUGCAGAAUAAAAGCCUUGUACUGCAAGUUUACCUAGUCCUGAUUCAUGGAUGCUGAAGUAAUUUGUCCUUCAGGGGUUCAUGGCAAAUGCCAGGAAACCUGAUGUUCUCAUUGCAAGCUUAUUAUCCUGUCCCAGAGGAGAACCAGGCAUUCUCUUCUCCCAUUUCACUGGUAUUACAUGAGUGUGUCUAGUGGCUCCUGAAGUGGAGAUUAACAAAUGAUUAGCAAGUCUCAUGUGUUACUGAGUCAGUCUGCCUUUUGGAUGGCAUUCCAUUAACUUGUACUACCUGAGCUUGAGUCAUUCCUCCACAGUCAUUCUGCUUGGAAGAGGGAAGAAAAGGAUUUGCUUUCUUCCUUUUCCUUUAAAAAGUCCUUUCUGACAGGAGGAACUUUGCAGGUGAUAGGUGGCUUGGGUUUUAUGCUGUAGUGCUGCUUCUUGAGUUUUGACCUUUGAAGGGCAAAAUUAAGAGGGAAUAAGAAGUAACACAUUAGAGAUGUAAAUAGAUGAGAUUUGUUGUGGCAAACCUGUUCUUUCUAGAAGGAAGGCAGAAAUUCUGUCCUUGUAUUUUCAACUAGAACAGUGUCUCUAUAAGAGACUGUAUUGUUGCAAGCCAAAGCCUUUGUGCAUGUUCUGGAGGAAAGGCUUCAACAACUGAAUGUUUUAUCUUUAUGCUGAAACUUCUUUGUCAAAGCUCAGCCUGUUUCAGUAUGUGUCUGUGUCUCAAAGAGGCUGGAAGACUGGGGAAGAACUGUUUAAAUUACUGCUGUGAAAACCUACUUUCACUGGUUUGCAAGCUUCAAUCUUUCCACCUCUUCCAAAUAGGUAAUGGUAAAGGAUGUGGGCCAGAAUGGUUGAGGCAGUAGAAGGGAAUUAAUAACACAGGACACUUUUAAGACCCACUCAUAGGACUUGAGACUGGGCAGGUACCAGCUGCAAAGGUGGUGACUUCCCUCUGAGAACAUUGUGAAGUCUGUCCUCCAGAUCUCCAAACCCAAAUUGCUGCCUUAGUGCUCCCCAGGCUCACCCACAUGCUGCAGCUGGAUGUGGGAGCUGCUGUUUUGGACUCCCAGCCUUGCUCUGCGUAGUUAUUUUUGGCUGUGGUAGCUGCCUCUGCGCUGGUAAUGCCAGAGUCAGGUGUCACACAGUCAUCUGUUCAGAGCCAGUGUCUGCUCAGGGCAGCUGUGAGCAAGGAAGCCAUUGCAAUUUAAGUCUGGAAGCUGCCCACUUGUUCUUGUGUGUAUUACCAGGCCCUGGGCCUGCUAAAUCCAACCACGUGUUGGGGAUGGAUGUGAGGAGCACAACUGCAGCCAUGGUUUCCUCAGGAAGAUUGUCUCAAUGGUGCCUGUGCAUGAUGCACAGCUUCAGGGGCUUUGCUAAAACCUUACCUUCUUGCACAGCCUAAGUGAAAAGCAUUUUGUUCUGGAGGACUGUUUUGGUGAGGGAGGAGGGAACCCCACAAAAUAAACCACCUUAGGAAGUAAGUUUGUCUGUUAAGUCCAUUUUCAUUAGAUGGGGUUCUCCUGGACCGCAAAACCUCUGUAACAUUUGUUGUUUCUGGUUAAAAAUGCUAAUUAAACUUCCUUCAGAGUUUGGCAUUUAAAGCCCUGACUAAAAGCCCUUAGGUUAAAAUUGUGAAGGGUUGUUAAGGUUUCAAUGUUUGCAGUAAUACUAAUGAAGCGGAGCUUUGCAUUUUGCCCUCUGCUGCUGUCCUGCUUGCAGUGGGGCACAGAGUGCCCUGAAGACACUCAGAUCCAUAGGGAGCUGCCAGUGAGAGGUAGCCCUGCUGCAGCAAGCUGCCACCUUACAGCUUGGGUAAGGUCUGUGAUGUGCUGCUCUCUUACAGGCUGUGCUGCUCCAAGCUUACAGUGUAGAACAGAUGGACCUUGAGUCCCAGUCAGCAAUUCUCUUUUUCUUAAUCCUCCUGGAAGGCUCCUGUGUACAGGAUCCAUGUCUUACACCAUUGUUUCAAGUGCCUCAGGUGGUUCUUACUAUGAAAGGACAAGGUUGGUAUUUAGGCAAUGGGGAGCCCUGGUUUGUAGGUGGCUUUGGGACCCAGCAGGGGUUCCUGUCCCUUUGGCAUGCUCAGUGUUCCUCUAAUUAGUGGUUGUUCUCCAGUUGCCACAGCAAAAACUUUUGAGCUGAAUAAGGGGAAGAUGACAUCAUUGUUUUGUGUGUGCUGGAUGGGUGCUUCAUGCCUACUGCUUCCAGUUUAAAACCCCCAAACCAGCUCAGAAGAGGGUUUGGACUUGGCAUGCCUGUUUGGUGUUUGCUGAGGAGUGAUCUCUUCUUUAACAACUCAUAACCUGAGCGUUGCUAGAGAGUUGGGCCAGCAAAGUCUUUCAACAUGAAGUGUGCUAAUGUUGUUUUAUGUUUGCUUUCCUGAAACAAAUGGAAUAUGAUGCUGUUAUUAAGGAAGAUGAUUUGGAUGGAAGCUAGAAGUAGUGUAAUUUAGUAAUUUGUAAUCAGCUUCAGUUUCCUGUUAAUGUUUCCUCUUGACUUUCUACCAUCAUCUUGCACUAAACAACUUUAAAAUGUUGUGGCUUGUACUGGGAUGUCAGAGCUCUAAGCCAAGAUGGUCAUACUGGCUCGAGGUCUGAAAUUGGAGGUGGAAUAUAUCAUCUGAUUUCUUGGAUGAGCGAGUGUUUUGUGAGGAAGCUGGUGUCGUGUGCUUGAGUUUGGUCUCAGCUGUUCUAGAAUGUCUUGCAUCUGUGAAAUGUGACAGCACAUUUCUGAAACUAAUUUGAGGUCUGGCUGAAAGUACCUGUGCAUGUAUAAUAAAGGCUUUUUCCCAUUUUAA